CUGUGAAAAGGAAAUGGAAGAUUUAUCUAUGAGAGGACUCUAAAAGAAUUGAUGUGAUGUGUUCAUCCAUAUUUGCAAGCAAUAGUAAUUGAUGUCCUGGAAAUUUUCACCUGAUAAAUUCCAAGUCACUAUAUGACUCUGGGACAGUGGUAAUUCUCUGGAUUCUAUUUUAGCCUUUAAGAUACAAAAUCUUACUUUCCGCAUAUACUGUGAAGAACAGUACAGAUGUACAAAUACACUUCUGAAUAGGUUUUAGCUUGUUCAAAGUUUUCAGAGAGAAAAAGAAUGACCAAAAUUUGUCACUUUUGUGCAGGCUUAUACAUAGAAAUAUCUUUUACAAAGCACAGAUUACAUAAAGAUAGGUAAGAUAAUAAGAUUUGGAAAUUUAAUUUUGAACUUCUUGGCAAAGGUCUACAUAUUUACUGUUCUGAAUAACAUCUUUUUAUAUAUUGACAAAGUUGGAUUAUAGUUAUACUCUCUUGCAAUAAUUAAUUCUUUUAUAGAAAAGGUUUGAUUCAGAAUUAUUGCUCAUCCAUGGCUGUCCUCUUAUUCCCAGGUUAAUGAAAACUGUUUUAGUUUCAAAUAUGCAAAAGUAAGUGUUUUACUAGCAAUUCUCAUUUCAUUUGAAAUACAAAUUGCAAUUGUUUAUGUCUUUUGAUUCUGUAUUAUUGUUUUUCAUCUGUUUGCUCAGGAAGAAGAAAUCAUUUAAAAGAAAUGUAUUAAAACUGAUGAUCUUAGUAGAUAGCCAGAGACUGUGGCCACUAUAUUAUGAAUAAAACACUGCACUGAUGCAUAGUGAAGGUUGAUUCAUCACAGCAAAAAAGUAGAAAUGAGAGGAUACCCCAGUAGAAAAAUAAUGCUUAAGACACCUGGCUAAAAAGUAAAAAAAAAAAUUAUUCAAGGAGUAAAAAAAAAAGUCUGUCAAAAAAUUUAAUUGGUAAUUAAAUUUAAUUUAAUUUCUUGCCCUUGGUACAGGGCAAUAAAAUACCAAGGAACUGAGAAAAAGAAAAAAAAAAGCAGGAUUAAAUUGACUAAAUUUUCUUAUCUUUUUGUAUUCUGGUAACUAUAUGUCAACAUAAUGCUAUUUUAGAAUUGAAAACCAAUUAUUUUCCCUAUUUUUUCUCACCAAUAAUUUUUUUUGGCUGGUCUCCACAGAAAAUACUGCAGUACUUUUUUCAUAAUAUUCUUGCCAGUAAAAGACUAUCUUUGACUAAGAGAAAAAACAAGCUGCUGCUCUGGAGGUGGCUAGAAAACUGGCAUAAUACCAGUGAGCAUAAUCCUGGCAUGGCACAGACUAGCCUACCUACCAACUUUCCCUGAUAUUGAACAUCAAGGGUUUUCUGGAAGUAGUAAGAGAAAGGGAGAGAUUCCAAAAUACUAAAACCUGUCAUGAUGUUUUAGUUGUGAAGAGCUUAAGGGACUCCAGAGAUAUUCUAUUCUAAACCACAUGCUUCACUCUCUGUUCAUUUUGCUUUUCAUCUUGUUUUAAAUUAAAUAAGAUGACUGCUUUAACUACUUCAGUUUAACCCUUCACUUUAUCUAUGCAGAUGAGAAGAGUUUCUGUGCCAGGGGCAAAGGCAGCCUCUCAUAAGAAGGCUUUCCUCUGGAAAAGAAGCAGUUUGAGUCCUGGAUCAGCACUAGAGUGCAGUGCACAAGGGAUGUUCAUCAGAGCUACUCGAGUCUGGCGGUGCUUCCCCACAUUUUCUUCAGCCAUGUUCAGCCUCCAGGAGUCCCAUAUUGAGCAGUGGAGAUCUUCAUUUAAUGAGAUGUGCUAAAUAAGUUGGACUGAAAAGGGCAAUUUUAUGUGUUGGACUUCCAUUUUGAAGAAGAACCUGUGGAUUGGCAUGUUUCUAUACAUUAAGUCAUCUAGAUCAGUGGAAUACAAAGAUGCUUUCUUCAAGGUGACUUCCAUGCUACUGAAAGCAAUCACUUUCUUCCUACAAAUACACCUCCCAGUGAUCAGGUAUUCUCAAUCAAUUGUUUAGGAAGUUUUACUACUCAUCAGUAUGAAAAUACAUUGGUGUACUGCUCUACUAGGAAUACAUCUGGUCCAACACAUAAUUUAUUACCUCUCCUCAAGAGUCAGCUCUGGCUAGUGUCCAUUAAGUUGUAUGUUCUGAGCCCAUUAUCAUUACUUAGGUAACACUAAACAUAACCAUAAGAAAACUAAACUGAAAAGCUUUCAAGGAAAAAAAAAAGUGCUUUGUUUCUACCUCUUUCUAAGUAAAAGGGUUUAAAGGUGUUGAUCCUUUGGGUAUAAUUGUUUAGAUGUAGUGUUUUGUGUUCCUAGGUAGGAUGCCCUCAAUAUACAUAAUAUGAAUUUAGCACUGUCAUCAAAUUUUCUUUUAAUGCAGUAAAAAUUCUUGGAUGGCAGCCAGCCUCUUUACCUCAUAAAAAAACAGCCUCUCUGAUUGCCUAUGUUGUAGAAACUGAAUAAUAUGUUACAACAUAGUGACUAAAAGAUGAGUAAACUGGCUGAGAACACACCCUCCACACAUGCAAAAUUUGGUCCCACUCACUGCUUGUUUGACAUUAUUGAUGAAGAUGUGUUUUUUCUCCCAGAGAUAAACAUGGCUCCAUAGGCCAAAUUCUUUUUUGAUUUACAUGCAAUGCACACUCUCUGGGCUAACUAAUUAGAAUGUGCUCCUUUACCAUAUCGUGCUUUAGAAAAAUUAUCUUUUUCUAUCAUAUAUCUUAGAAAUAAGGUAUUUCACUUUGGGAUGGUGAUGUGCUCUUGUGCAUGCCAGCAAAACCUGUCAUCAGCCAGGCUGAUAAAAAUUAAACCAAGAAAAACAUGUAAGUAUUCAUGUAGGUCAUUAUUCAUGUAGGUCAUAGUCUGGAAAAAUAAUCCACAAAAUUGUACUGAAUUUUCUUUUCUGCCUCCAUCCCCAGUUCAGUUACUGCAACAGAACUGAGGGCCUUACUUGAUAAUUUUUCAUUAUAAAAAACUCUGAGAUUACAACAGGUGACUGUUGGAAGGAAGAUGGAUCUUAUAUUCAGCUAAAGUGGUUAUUUCAACCUUUUUUGACCAGCAUCACCUGCAAGAGGUUAUGUCCUAAUAUUUAAUAAACUUCAACCUCAUAGCAGUAAUUUUGCUGUGUUGACCCCAGGAGCUGAGAGAAAACAGGCUGUCAAUGACAGGUCUAAGAUGCAUUUGCAACAUACACAAAUAAUAACUAAAUUAGGGGUUUUUUUUUAAAAAUAAGACUUCAGGAAUAUGAUCCUUCAAAUCCUUAUUUCCAGCAGGUGGAAAAAUGAGCAAACCCUAUAUUUCAUUAUUUAUUAUAUGAAAUGCGCUUUAUAAAACUGGAACCAAUGUUAAGGCAACAUUUUUUAGUCAAAUCUAAAAUUAGUUGGCUGUGUUCUUAAUUCUGUGCUAAUGCUUUAUUAGUGGUGGUAUUUAUAUUAUAUUUAUUACCUGCUUGACGCACUAAGUACCUUUAGUAUGUUCAAUAAUUGAAAUAUCUUUGUAUUCCCUAGUACCUCAAGCCAUUGGAUUUUAAGUAUUAGUUCCUGAAACACAUUGGUUUGAUGCUUAAUAGGACUCAUCUGUUUCACCUCAAUUUUUUCUUUUCAUUUCAUCUUUAUGCUUGACAUCUUCCAUGCUUUCUUUCCUCAUAUUUGUGGGAUUUGUAAUUCUCAGCAGCAUUUGUGUUUAAAGUACUUUGAAUCUUAUGAUGUAGGAAAAUAGUAGCAGUGUUUUAUUGCCAUAUAUAUACUACCAGUUUCAUUUCUUCCACUUGAGUGUCUCAAAUCUAUGACUAGGUUAAGAAAAUCUCUCAUUACUCCUACAGCUCUCUUGACCUUUCCAUAUGCCUUUUAAUUUACUCAGUCAUUUCACACUUGAGCUCUUGUUUUGGAGAAGGUAAAAUACAGCAUAUUAGUAUAACCAGUUUAUUCUCUGAGACCAAUUCAGAUUCAACAUUGAACGACACUGCAGCUUUAGGAAUGACCAGGUCACGAUUGUUUUUCACUCAAGUAACAAGCAAGUCAAUGACCAUGUGAAAAGCAGCCAUGGGAGAGAAUGCAAUAAGGGAAUGUUUUGACUCCUCUAUGCCUUUUCUCAUAGCAUGGAUUGGACCAGCUGGAAGAAAAACCCAAACUUUUCCUCUUCACAUUGAAUUUUCUGGCUCAUUUAAGUUGGUAUUACAACAUUUUUUUACCUUCUCCUUUACCCCAAAGUGAAAAGGAAUUAAGUGCUCUCAUUCCUGAUGGCUGCUGCUCAUAAGUAAGGCAAAGGUUUCCCAUUUCACAAACUUUUUAUUUCACAUUUCUGCUGAUUUUAUCUAAUCUUUGACUGUUAUUUUUAAUAGCCCAGAUAAUGUAAUCUUAAAGUCAGAUUUAAGUUGUGCCCUUAAUAGCCUACUUCUCCUCAUAUGACUAGCUCUUUCACCCUCCCAUGUACUUGGUUAAACAUAUUUCCAUUUUUAUAUAUUCAUUUUAACAUCCUUUUAUUACUGAGCUUACAUUAUUGUAUAUUAAUGUCUAUCAAUUCCCCAUUAAUCUCUCAUAUAGCACAUUUCCACCACAAGAAACCCACCCAAACCCUUGCUAACUUUUCUCUUUUUGUUUUUAUCCUCUCUAUGUAUGUAUUUGUUACAGGCCACAUUAAGGUAAGACUGCAGUUUGCUUGAAUAGGGUCAGCUUACUAUAAAGUGAUCUUCUAACAUUACAAUAACUAAGAAAUCGAGUUACUGAUGCACUCAGGUAACUUCUAGAAGUCUUUCCUCCCUGUUUGAUACAUUAAAUGAGAAGGGGUUAACAGCUAUUGAGAGAGUCUCACGAGAGAUGGGGAAUUUGUAUCCCACGGCAUGCUUUGGGCUUGAAGAGACCUUAAAGAUCAUCUAUUUCCUCAUAAGUCUGUCAAGGUCCCUUCCCUUCAGCAUGUCGACUGCAUGCUCAGCUUGGUGCUGUCAGCAGCUGAGGGUGCACUCAAUCCCUCUGUCCAAGUAACCAACAAAGAUGUUGAGCUGUGCUAGUCCCAGUACUGACUCCUGAGGAACAGCACACAUCAUUGGCUUCCAUUUGGACUUUGAGCCUUUUACCGCAACUCCCUGAGCACGACCACCCAACCAAUUCCUAAUCAGUCAAAUGGUCCCUCCAUCAAAUGCACAUAUCUCCAGUUUGGAGACAGCAACAUUGUGCAGGACAGUGUCAAAUGCUUUGCACAAGUCCAGGCAGAUGAUGCCAGUUGUCCCUUGCUUAUCCACCAACACUGUCCCCCUGAUGUAGGAAGCCAUCAGAUUUGUCAGGAGCCAUUUGCCCUUGCUGGAGCCUUGUUGGCUGUGACCAAUCCCCUCAUUAUUUUCCAAGUGCCUUAGCACAGUUUCCAGGAGGCUCUGCUCCAUGAUCUUGCAAGGCAAGAGAGGGUGUCACACUGUCAAGAACCAGCUGGAGCGCAUGGAGCUCCAUCUGGGAGUGGAAGAGGAGGCAAGCAAAAGCUUAUGGGUUGGAUAUGAGGAUCCAGGAUGAAAUAACAGGGCGGGGACAGGAGACUUCAUAGUGAGAGUCUGCUACAGGCACCUGGGCCAAGGCUGCUACACAGGCAAAGGGUGGAAGCAAGGACAUGUAGCCUUGGAGGAAUACACACAGGCUGUCCCACCAGCCAGCAAUGAGGGUAGGAAAGGUAAUGCCCCGACAGAAUUAAAUGUGACCAGAGCAUCAAGGGCAACAAGAAAAGUGUCUAGGACUUACAUCAGUGGUAAAAGUGAGACUAGAGCCCCAUCAAUACAACUAGGGGUCUCAGUCACUGUUCCAGCCCUGACAGUUCCUCUUUGUUCAUCCAGGACAGCAUCCUUGUACAUCCAGGACAGCAUCACCCCAGGCUGGUCCUUCCAGUACUUGUGUUAUCCCUGACACUCUCUGGCAAACUCCCCAGUGCCUAUUCCUUUGCAGCAGCUGCCAGGAGAACUGGUGCCUGUGACCAGAAAUUUGGCUGUGCCAGGACCAUUGUAGUUCUGUAUCCACAUAAGGUGCUUUAAUUCAGAGAAAUACCAAAUAAUUAUUUUUUUUUUUGUCCUUUUGACUCUAGCAAUAAAGUAUGAGGGUCAGAAACCCUCUCUUCUGAAAGUGACCUCCUUCAGUCUCCAGCAUAUACGUAUCUAGGAUCAGUUUCAACUUAUUUGGCCUUGGGCCAGCCUGGCCAUUCAGGAUUUCAGAGCUCAUACCAUAGUCAUGUACAGUAAUUGUACUCGAGUCUCUCAGCUUUCAUUUUGUCCAACCAAGUAUGACAAGCUUCUGUAGUUUUGACUUCCUUCCUUUUAAGAUAUAGUUAUAACCUUAAAAAAGUCUGCCAAUUACAACACAGACCAGUUUCAAACUAUCAGCAUUACAUUAAGAGAAAAUAAUGCAGUAGAGCAUUUGAACCAAAAUGUCUUUAACUGC